AGUCGAUAGUUAGUAGUCGAAUAAAAAUAAGUCGAUAACAGAUCGCUGUUACAGCCCUUUUAAAGCUGUUAAGGCAAACAAUCUGGCAACCCCGCCUAUCUGGCAAUUUUGACAACCGAACUUCCGCUUGAUUGGCUUGUUUUUUUCCGAUCAAAAUGCCAAAGUGAAAAGUUGUCUAUAACGCAAAAUAAAUAGUGAAUAUCACCAACGUCGAAAUUGGGAUAGUACCGAACACGGUACACCCGUGAGACUGAGAGCAGCAGCCGAGCGUUGGCUGUGGAUGAGCCCAGCCGUUCGCCGCUGCACGUGGGUUGUGGUUGUGGCGAAAAGACUCCAGGAAGUGUUAGAAAACCCCCCCCACUCACUUUCCGGAGCAGAACCGCAUGUUCGUUUGAGCCGACCGCAUUUAACCUGAUGGGCUCGCCGACGAUCGCUGAGGCAGACAUCUCGUCCAUAGUGACGAAUCAACAAUAACAA